rnacentral:rRNA from 1 species
AGAGCGAACGCUGGCGGCAGGCCUAACACAUGCAAGUCGAACGAACUCUUCGGAGUUAGUGGCGGACGGGUGAGUAACACGUGGGAACGUGCCUUUAGGUUCGGAAUAACUCAGGGAAACUUGUGCUAAUACCGAAUGUGCCCUUCGGGGGAAAGAUUUAUCGCCUUUAGAGCGGCCCGCGUCUGAUUAGCUUGUUGGUGGGGUAAUGGCCCACCAAGGCUACGAUCAGUAGCUGGUCUGAGAGGAUGACCAGCCACAUUGGGACCGAGACACGGCCCAAACUCCUACGGGAGGCAGCAGUGGGGAAUCUUGCGCAAUGGGCGAAAGCCUGACGCAGCCAUGCCGCGUGAAUGAUGAAGGUCUUAGGAUUGUAAAUUCUUCAGUAGGACGAUAAUGACGGUACUACAGAAGAAGCCCGACUAACUCGUGCCAGCAGCCGC